GGUUCGUUAGUCGAAAAUACUGAAUAAUUAAACAAACCAAAUGGCAUCACUGGUGGUUCUUUUUUCCACUCCGCUAAACUGUCAUCUCAAACAAAAACAAAUGGAUCAUACAACUGCUAUGAAUACAUUCGACUCGUUUGCUUCCAUCAAUCGGUAAGUGAGAAAGAUGAUUUCUCCCAUCACCACAGUGCGGAUUUCCACUUCUAUCACAGCAGCCAACAACAUCCGUUUUCCUGCAGCAGUAACCUCCAACCCCUGUUGGCAAUGCCGGGGGACAGCAUCAACAGCAGCAACAGCAGAAUUUAACCAUGGUAUGGUAUCGCGAAGAACUUUCCCCAUUAGAGGUUCCGUGCUUCGCGCACAUUCAAAAAUCCUCUUCAGAUACGAAAACUCAACGACAAGGAGGUAUUUAUCAACUUGCUCAGCUCAAUUACCGCCCCGGAGGAACCCGAAUGCACUGAUUCCGUAGUAUAGUAGAAUGAAAAUAGGCGAGGUUAGCGAACGUAAUCGCAUGAUAUUUUAAUGUUCGCAUUUUUAUCCGGAUCAUACAACUGCUAUGAAUACAUCCGACUCAAUCAAUCGGCGAGUGAGAAAGAUGAUUUCCCUCAUCACCACAUUGCUUAUUUCCACUUCUGUCACACCAGCCAACAGCAUCAGCUUACCCGCAGCAGUAUCCUUUAAGUCCAGGGUGCUAUUCCGGGGAACAGCAUCAACAGCAACAGCAGCAGGACCUGGCCAUCGAUAGUAUUUCGAGCAAUUUUCCCCAUCGUAGAUCCCGUGCUUCACGCACAUUGAAGAAUCCUCCUCAGCCACAUAUCUGUGUCAUCAAGGGCAAGGAGGUAUUCAUCAAUGUACUCAGUCGGAUUUGAAUCGUCAAUCCAGACAACCCGGAUGCACCGAUUUCAUUAUAUACCUUAUUUUUAU